rnacentral:tRNA from 1 species
CCUUCGAUAGCUCAGCUGGUAGAGCGGAGGACUGUAGAGGCGGAAUGUCACACGGGAAUCCUUAGGUCGCUGGUUCGAUUCCGGCUCGAAGGA